AGAAAAGUAGGGACCGCCCCGCACAGGGGCGACGCCAGAAGCGAGACGACAAAGCAGGUUCAACGACGAAGCAUGAGCAACCACGAAAAGCUCACGCCUCGCCGCGCGACAAAC
rfam:Paraburkholderia caribensis strain Bcrs1W chromosome 1, complete sequence.